rnacentral:tRNA from 1 species
GGGGGUAUGGCUUAGUGGUAGAGCACUUGCCUAGCAUGUAUGAGGCCCUGGGUUCAAUCUCCAGCCCG